ACUGACGCUGAUGGACGAAAGCGUGGGGAGCGAACAGGAUUAGAUACCCUGGUAGUCCACGCCGUAAACGAUGCUAACUCGUUUCUGGUUUUUCGGAAUCAGAGACUAAGCGAAAGUGAUAAGUUAGCCACCUGGGGAGUACGAACGCAAGUUUGAAACUCAAAGGAAUUGACGGGGGCCCGCACAAGCGGUGGAUUAUGUGGUUUAAUUCGAUGAUACGCGAGGAACCUUACCAAGACUUAAAUGGGAAUUGACAGAUUUAGAAAUAGAUCCUCCUUCGGGCAAUUUUCAAGGUGCUGCAUGGUUGUCGUCAGCUCGUGCCGUGAGGUGUUAGGUUAAGUCCUGCAACGAGCGCAACCCCUGUCACUAGUUGCCAUCAUUCAGUUGGGGACUCUAGUGAGACUGCCUACGCAAGUAGAGAGGAAGGUGGGGAUGACGUCAAAUCAUCACGGCCCUUACGUCUUGGGCCACACACGUAAUACAAUGGCCGGUACAGAGGGCAGCUACACAGCGAUGUGAUGCAAAUCUCGAAAGCCGGUCUCAGUUCGGAUUGGAGUCUGCAACUCGACUCUAUGAAGCUGGAAUCGCUAGUAAUCGCGCAUCAGCCAUGGCGCGGUGAAUACGUUCCCGGGCCUUGUACACACCGCCCGUCAAGCCAUGGAGUCUGGGUACCUGAAGUCGGGACCGAACAGGAGCUGCCUA
rnacentral:rRNA from 1 species